rnacentral:rRNA from 1 species
AUUGAACGCUGGCGGCAUGCCUUACACAUGCAAUUCGAACGGCAGCGGGGGAGAAGCUUGCUUUUCCUGCCGGCGAGUGGCGAACGGGUGAGUAAUACAUCGGUACGUGCCCUGUAGUGGGGGAUAACUAGUCGAAAGAUUAGCUAAUACCGCAUACGACCUGAGGGUGAAAGUGGGGGACCGCAAGGCCUCAUGCUAUAGGAGCGGCCGAUGUCUGAUUAGCUAGUUGGUGGGGUAAAGGCCUACCAAGGCGACGAUCAGUAGCUGGUCUGAGAGGACGAUCAGCCACACUGGGACUGAGACACGGCCCAGACUCCUACGGGAGGCAGCAGUGGGGAAUUUUGGACAAUGGGCGAAAGCCUGAUCCAGCAAUGCCGCGUGUGUGAAGAAGGCCUUCGGGUUGUAAAGCACUUUUGUCCGGAAAGAAAUGGCUCUGGUUAAUACCUGGGGUCGAUGACGGUACCGGAAGAAUAAGGGCCGGCUAACUACGUGCCAGCCGCCGCCGUAA